AUCUAGCUGAUGAGCUCUAAAUAGGACGAAACGCGUGUCAAACUGGAU
rnacentral:hammerhead_ribozyme from 1 species